AGUGAACGCUGGCGGUAGGCCUAACACAUGCAAGUCGAACGGCAGCACCGUAAGAGCUUGCUCUUACGGGUGGCGAGUGGCGGACGGGUGAGGAAUACAUCGGAAUCUACUUUUUCGUGGGGGAUAACGUAGGGAAACUUACGCUAAUACCGCAUACGACCUACGGGUGAAAGCAGGGGAUCUUCGGACCUUGCGCGAUUGAAUGAGCCGAUGUCGGAUUAGCUAGUUGGCGGGGUAAUGGCCCACCAAGGCGACGAUCCGUAGCUGGUCUGAGAGGAUGAUCGGCCACACUGGAACUGAGACACGGUCCAGACUCCUACGGGAGGCAGGAGUAGGGAAUAUUGGACAAUGGGCGCAAGCAUGAUCCAGCCAUACCGCGUGGGUGAAGAAGGCCUUCGGGUUGUAAAGCACUUUUGUUGGGAGAGAAAAGCAGCAGGUUAAUAACACGCUGUUCUGACGGUACCCAAAGAAUAAGCACCGGCUAACUUCGUG
rnacentral:rRNA from 1 species